UACAUUCACAAAAUUCUAGAACUCGACAUGUAUAAUUCGACAGAUUUUCUCUUCCAACUGAUGUGAUGUAGCAAGAUGAGCAACAAAAGAAGAAUCCCAAGAUAAUCACGUAAUUAUGUUAGGAGAGAUUCUCAGUUCAAUCUAAUCCUGUCUAAACAGGCUGAAAGAAAUUAGUCACUCAGAAUUAUAUAAAAGGCUCUAUUGAGGGAAUGAUACAAGCUUGUUGUGCAAGCCAGAAAUCUGAAUGUAUUCUUUGACAUCUACCACUCUUUUUCACUCUCUCCUUAUGUGGAAAGUACUAUGAAUUUAUUCUCCAAUCAUCUUUUUAAUCUGGACACCUCUGGCCAUUUCUAUUGCCACAACCAUAGUUCAAUUUAUUGUCAUCUCCUAACUGAACUACUGUAAUCGUUUCCUAAUACUCACUCAGAUGAUCUUACUUUAUGUAAUAUCUACUUCACAUACGCAGCUGGAGUAAAAUGUUACAUUACAAAUCUGAUAUGAGAAAAUUACAUCUGGGAGCAUUUUAAUUUACUUUAAUAGAGAGAUUCUUUUGUUAUGCAAAUAUCCCUUCAAUGACCAAAUUGUCUUUCUAAGGGGAUGUCAUCAAGAGGGAAAAGAGCUUAAAUUUAUUGAACUAAAGAAAUAAAGCAAUUAUUCAAGUAAAUAAUUCUGUAUGAAGUGUUUAUGCAUAUGUCUUAUGUAAAAUAUACUUGAUUCUUUCAUAUGCACACUUGAGAUCUUUACGUUCUAAACACCCACAAGUACUCUGAGAGCCUUCAUUUCUUAUCCUGUAAAUAAGUGGGAUUUUUUUUUGUAAAACAAAAAAAUUAAAAACAA
rnacentral:lncRNA from 1 species